GGUAACAAAAUGGCUUAGUGGUUAGAAUGUCUGCCUCACACCUCCAGGGUCGGGGGUUCGAUUCCCACUGUAACCC